rnacentral:rRNA from 1 species
GACCCGAAACCGGGCGACCUACCCAUGAGCAGGAUGAAGCGAAAGUAAAAUUUCGUGGAGGUCCGAACCCACGAGCGUUGAAAAGCUCGGGGAUGACUUGUGGGUAGCGGUGAAAUUCCAAUCGAGCCCGGAGAUAGCUGGUUCUCCCCGAAAUAGCUUUAGGGCUAGCCUCAAGGUGAGAGAUACGGAGGUAGAGCACUGAAUGUCCUAGGGGGUAUUGCACCUACCGAAGACUAUCAAACUCCGAAUGCCGUCAUCUUAUACUUGGGAGUCAGACUGUGGGUGAUAAGAUUCAUAGUCGAAAGGGCAACAGCCCAGAUCGUCAGCUAAGGUCCCUAAAUGUAAGUUAAGUGGUAAAGGAUGUGGGAUUGCACAGACAACCAGGAUGUUGGCUUAGAAGCAGCCACUCAUUCAAAGAGUGCGUAAUAGCUCACUGGUCGAGUGAUCCUGCGCCGAAGAUUUCCGGGGCUAAAACUUACUACCGAAGCUACGGCAUCAGUAAUGAUGGGUAGGGGAGCUUCCCAUACGGGUUGAAGCAUGACCGUAAGGACAUGUGGACAGUAUGGGAGUGAGAAUGUUGGCAUGAGUAGCGAGAUGUGGGUGAGAAUCCCACAGGCCGUAAACCCAAGGUUUCCAGGGGAAGGUUCGUCCGCCCUGGGUUAGUCGGGACCUAAGCUGAGGCCGAAAGGCGUAGGUGAUGGACAACAGGUUGAUAUUCCUGUAC